rnacentral:rRNA from 1 species
UACGUAGGGGCAAGCGUUGUCCGGAAUCAUUGGGCGUAAAGCGCGUGUAGGCGGUUCGAUAAGUCUGCUGUGAAAGUCCAGGGCUCAACCCUGGAAAGCCGGUGGAUACUGUCGGACUAGAGUACGGAAGAGGCGAGUGGAAUUUCCCGGUGUAGCGGUGAAAAUGCGCAGAUAUCGGGAGGAACACCAAUUGCGAAGGCAGCUCGCU